GGUCCACGGGCGGGACUCGGCAGGUUUGCUGCAAGGACUCGGUGCGGCGCGACCCGUUACCGGAGAGGCGGGCCGGAGGCGCACCAGCUCCGCCGCGCUGGUGGCUUUGCGCUCCCUCCCUGGCAUUCACGCGUGUUGCGUUUGAGUCGAGCCAGGCAUCAUUCAGGGAUGUGGUCUCCGUGACCUCGCUUUCCUUCUGCCGCCAGACCCACCUCCCACAAACCCCUAGGCUUUCUUGAGGAGAGUGGAAUUUGUUGGGUGAGGAGUAUGAAUAGAGCUGUCGUGUGCAGACAUCUUCGGGUUUAGUGAAUGUUUCACAUGUGUACAUUUGAGCUCUUCCUAAGGAAUGGAAGCCCAGACUGCCUGGGAGGCAGGAGACCUCGUUUCCAGCUCCCGGCCCUUACUGCCGCUGCAAAUCCUAGACUGGCUAGAGACCAUUCGCUGCAGCGGACGUCGGAAAACGAGACCUCGCAGUUCAGGAGGCAGGAAAAAGACAUGCCCGCGCCCUCAUCCCAAUAGGUGCUCAUAGCGUUUGGCCAGCUUGAGCUCCAUUCGGCCCCCACUUACCCAAGGGCCCCUUCCCCGCGGCCUUCGCUUUUAGCUCCUCGAGUUUCUUCUGCUCCUCUUUUUGUUUCUGCUUGAAAGCCUUAUCUUCCUGGGGAGAGGCAGAGCGUGUUCAACUCAGGCCUGUCUCCCAGCGCCCCCGCACCCGCCAGUGCCUCCGCGCCCGCCCUCACCUCGUCCAUCUCCUUGGCCUGCUUCUUGGGCUGUUUCAGUGGCUUCUUCUUGCCACCUGUGGGCGACACGAGCACGUUCGGCCUGCCCCUGCCGCCCGGUCCCCACC
rnacentral:antisense_RNA from 1 species